GGAAGAAGGGCACCGAAGAACAGCUGCACAUAGAGCAGGCAUCCCACGUCCUCUGCAUGGCCAUCUCGUCAGAUGUCAAGUGCCUGGGACCGUAGAGGGGGCUGGCGCAUGGGGCGGAGAGAAUCAAGCUGACGAUGAUCUGGGCUUCAGCCAUGUGCACACACCUGCACAUCUUCCCCGGGCACCGCGAUGCUGUUUGGGGCCUGUCCUUCCAGAAGGGCACCCACCAGCUCUACAGUGCCUCCCUUGACCGCUGCAUCAAGGUCUGGAAGGCAGCAGAAAAUGCACACGUGGAGACCCUACUGGGGCACCACAACGUCAUGACGAGGCUGGACAGCCUGAGCCAGGAGUGCUGUGUGAGGUCGGGGGACGGGAUGGCAGCGUGCGGCUCUGGAUGAUCCCGAAGGAGUCACAGCUCGUGUUUGAUGGGCACCAGUAGGGUCUCCAUUGACUGCAUCCAGCUCAUCAGCAGGAGCACGUGGUGUUGGGCACCAAUGAAAUGUCCAAACCCGAAAUCCAAAUCACUUUAUUUACAUAAAUGAAAAAAACCCAAACAAAACAAGCAAAAAAACAAACAAAAAAACCAAACAAAAAACCCCAAAAAAACCCCAAACCCCCCCAAACCAAACAAAAAAACCUCACAAACACAAAAAAAAAAAAAAUCAAAGAAAAAAAAAAAGGAAA